AACGGACUCUGACAAAACUCUGAGGAAGAAACAAAAUUCAGCAGGUGUUUCUAAAAUAAACUGCUUCAGUUUAUUGACAGAACAUCUACAAAAACAUCUCAGGGUUGGAGGACAAAGCCAUGCUCCAGCCAUACAUCUGGAAACAGUCUAAACCUACAUCCUGGUAUAAAUUUGCAAAACGCAAUACAGGCCGGAUUGUGUGUGCGCGGGACAGACGUGGGGCGCAUACAAAUGGCCCCCCGUCUAAAGUCCCCCCUGUUUCUCUUCAGACUCAGAAGCUAAUGUACAAUAAAUCAACAAAAGAGCAUUAAUGUAUCCAUUGAGUA